rnacentral:rRNA from 1 species
CCCUUAGAUGUUCUGGGCCGCACGCGCGCUACACUGACGAAUGCAACGAGCUUAUAACCUUGGCCGAAAGGUCUGGGUAAUCUCCAAAUUUCGUCGUGAUGGGGAUAGAUUAUUGCAAUUUUUGGUCUUCAACGAGGAAUUCCUAGUAAACGCAAGUCAUCAACUUGCAUUGAUUACGUCCCUGCCCUUUGUACACACCGCCCGUCGCACCUACCGAUUGAAUGGUCCGGUGAAGCCUCCGGAUUGGCGCGCACCUCGGUGCCGCCGAGAAGUUGGCUAAACCUUACCAUUUAGAGGAAGGUGAAGUCGUAACA